UCCCAAAAUGGCGGCGGCGGAGCCGCGCGGGGCCGCCGCUCUCUCCGCCGCCCAGGAAGGAAGGAGGGCAGACCGGCAGCCUGAGGCGGCAGCGCCCUUAGCGAGGGCUUGUCCUUGGGGAAGGAGCCCCUCCGUGCCGGGGCAGGACGAGGGGCUCCGUUAACGCCGCCAGGAAGCGGCCCGGGAGGAGCCACCAGUAAGUGCCGCUGGCCUGGUCUCCUGAGGGCUGGGGAACGCCUGGCUGCGUGAGGGCUGGCCACCAAAAAGGGUAUUUCCAGGCAUGGACGAAAGUUCGUCUAGACGAGGAGCCUCAGUAUGUGGGAGAUUCCUUCUACGUGGACUUUCCUGAGCCUGUGAGAUGGGGCUCUGGGUGAGGAACCAAAGGAAAGGAGGAAAUAAAAAUGUUUCAAAAUGGGAAGAACUGCUGCACAAUAACUGGGAAAUGUCCUUUUGAAGUCUUGUAGUGGGUCUGUCCCACUGACCCCUAGGAAUCCUACCAGUGCCCUGCUUGUCUGUGGAAUGUGACUGAGUGUUGUGGGGUCUUUGCUAUUCAUUUUCACACUCAGAUAAUAAAAAUAAGAUGGUUGUUAUUAUUAUUAUUUCUGUCUUCAGGUUUUUGGUUCUCAUAUCUGUUUCCUGUCACACACUUCAGGUAUCUAUUCUUGGGUUUGUUUUCAGCUGCCCAAAUAUAUCCUGAAAACAAACCAAAGUCAGUUAACAUGAACUAUGCAAAAAAAGCUUCAUAACUGUCAGUGUAAGUUCAAACUGUUCUGCGAAUGUUCAUUGUACAAAGCAUUACCAGGAACUUGAUGUCAUUAAAAAAAUCAUUUGGUUAGACUA